GAUGAACGCUAGCUACAGGCUUAACACAUGCAAGUCGAGGGGUAACAAGAGAAAAGCUUGCUUUUCUUGUUGACGACCGGCGCACGGGUGAGUAACGCGUAUCCAACCUGCCUAUAACUAGGGAAUAACCUUGCGAAAGUAAGACUAAUACCCUAUGAUUUCCUUUGAUGACAUCAGAUUAGGAAUAAAGAUUUAUCGGUUAUAGAUGGGAAUGCGUCUGAUUAGCUUGUUGGCGGGGUAACGGCCCACCAAGGCAACGAUCAGUAGGGGUUCUGAGAGGAAGGUCCCCCACAUUGGAACUGAGACACGGUCCAAACUCCUACGGGAGGCAGCAGUGAGGAAUAUUGGUCAAUGGGCGGAAGCCUGAACCAGCCAAGUAGCGUGCAGGAUGACGGCCCUAUGGGUUGUAAACUGCUUCUAUACAGGAAUAAAGUUAGCCACGUGUGGUUAUUUGUAGGUACUGUAUGAAUAAGGACCGGCUAAUUCCGUGCCAGCAGCCGCCGUAA
rnacentral:rRNA from 1 species